UGGGGAAUAUUGGACAAUGGGGGCAACCCUGAUCCAGCCAUGCCGCGUGAGUGAUGAAGGCCUUCGGGUUGUAAAGCUCUUUUGGCGGGGACGAUGAUGACGGUACCCGCAGAAUAAGCCCCGGCUAACUUCGUGCCAGCAGCCGCGGUAAGACGAAGGGGGCUAGCGUUGUUCGGAAUUACUGGGCGUAAAGCGCGUGUAGGCGGUUGUCCAAGUUGGAUGUGAAAGCCUUGAGCUUAACUCAAGAAAUGCAUUCAGGACUGGAUGACUAGAGGACCGGAGAGGAUAGUGGAAUUCCCAGUGUAGUGGUGAAAUACGUAGAGAUUGGGAAGAACACCAGUGGCGAAGGCGGCUAUCUGGACGGUUUCUGACGCUAAGACGCGAAAGCGUGGGGAGCAAACA
rnacentral:rRNA from 1 species